rnacentral:ncRNA from 1 species
ACGACAAUAGCAAACCCACCGAAAGGUGGCGACGCAAAGCUAUAGGGGCUAAUGCGGGACCUACUGCAACCGCAAUGCCAGCCAGUUGCCGAA